rnacentral:hammerhead_ribozyme from 1 species
AUCCAGCUAACGAGUCCUAAAUAAGACGAAACGCGCUUCCUGGAU